CAUUCAGCAGAAAACUGCGAUGACUAAUCGAUUACUUAGCGAUGUGUAAUCGCUAACGAUUCUGCUGAAUGGUAUACUUUCAUGUACAUACGAAAUAGGUUAUGACAACUGUCACAUUUUUCAAAAUGAUUUGCAAAUACGUGAAAGACACCCCAAGAACAGAAAUAAAAAUUAUUAUGAAAUGGUAAUUUAUAAAUAACCCCAUUUAAUUCAUACAUAGUUUCAAAUUCUUGAAUUUCUUGCGAAAUAGGUAAACCUAAUAGGUACAUACGAAUAAUCCAACAAAGCAGCUCACAUAUUUAUCAGCGUGAUUUAUAUGCCUUUCAGCCUUCCUUGCCUUCAAUUCAUGUUUUUUUAAGAUACAUAACUUAAAAUAUACGUGUUAGACACACGUCAUACGUCAAUCUUAUUUUGAUUUGCUAAGAAAUCAUUGGGCCUGCAUUGGGACUACGUGCAUUAUCGCCUGAGUCGAACGCCUGAGUCGAUCGUAUUCUAAGGAAUAUAGACGGUUCUAGAAGAGACCACACUAAACGUGACUAAACUCAACACGGACGUUUGCAUAGGUAUAUAUUAACAUAGAGUGAGCCUUCACUCCGCGCGUCCUGACGACAAUAUCUCUUCGACUGGUUUGCGCUAUCUCUUUCUAGCACAUUGUACCGAGAAACUAAGAUGACAUUAAGGUGUGAAUAUAGGCACGGAAGAGGAGGACAACUGUCGUAGCUUAAUAUGCGUAAGAGUGAAACAGCACUAAUCCAAAGAAAAAAGAUGGCGUCGUCACUUCGCUUUGAAUGACACUCUCUCUAUGUCAAUUUACCUCUAUGGACGUUUGCUGUGAUUGGCAGUCAUCGUCGUCGGAUUGCAUGAUUUGAGUUUCCACUAGACUUGUGUUAUGGACGGAUUUUACGGGCUGUGAUUGGUCGUAUUCAAAUCAAUGACAUAUUUGAUGACAUUUAAAAGAAAUACGUAACCCUGUUUUCUCGUUUGUUUUUGUUUAUGCAGUGUGUUUAUGUUAUACAAAAGAAAAAUAUUGAUAUUUUAGUUAUUAAUCUUGGAUUUUGAGACUAUUUUAUACGUUUAUACUUGUUUAUUGUAUUCAUUUUUAAACAGCCAUAUUAUUUCCAGCAAAAGUUAUGGAACGUUUACAGAUACAUAGUAAUAUUUAUAUAAAAAAAAAACAAAUUACUUUCUGCUUGCUUCCUAUAUUUUGUAAAUUUUUAAAGCUUCCUCCCAGACUCAUUUGAGUAUAAGGUGGUUCAUUUUUCCGAAAUAAAUGGAAAGGAUGGCGCAUUUAAUGCAGUGAUUUGAGCUAAUAUAACAACACAAGAAGAUGCUCAAAAUUGUCAAAAAGAAUAUGAAAAUAUUAAUAAAGUAAAUUUUAGAGUUCUAAGAACUUAUCCAAAUGAUUCUAUGAAGCUUGUUUUCAAGAAAGACUAUCGAUGCCAUCGCAAUACUCAGGCUAAUUUGCCUUCAUCAAAGACAAAAAAUCCGUCAUCUAAACAUGUUAACUGUCAGGCAUUUUUAAUAAUUACAGUGAAAUGUGUGUGUUUUUAUGUUUUAUUGGCACUGGUUUAAGAAUAAUUACAGUGAAACCAUCAAGUAUGAAAAGGUAAAGUCUAUUUGCUAAUCUGAGACACAACUACUGUCUAGUGACGUUGGUAAUUUUUUUUGAGAAGUUAGGUUGCUAGACGUAACUGGAAAAGACUACACAACCAAACAUAACUACUCAUAGCCAAUAUUAUUAUUAACAGUAAACAGGCAUAAAUAACAUAACAUACACCAUACACCAAUCAAUAAUUAUUUAUUUAAACCUUUAUAAUGUAUUGAUAACAGAUGAGAAAAGUAUUUAUUGUACAAAAUAAAAAUAUUUUAUAGAAAUAAAUUCCACAAAAUUUUA